rnacentral:rRNA from 1 species
UACAGAGGUCCCAAGCGUUGUUCGGAUUUACUGGGCGUAAAGGGUGCGUAGGUGGCUGAUAAAGUCUGAUGUGAAAUCUCGGUGCUUAACUCCGAAACUGCAUUGGAUACUCAUUAGCUUGAGGUAUGGAGGGGAGGUUGGAAUUCUCGGUGUAGCAGUGAAAUGCGUAGAUAUCGAGAGGAACACCAGUGGCGAAGGCGAAUCUCUGGACAUUACCUGACACUGAGGCACGAAAGCCAAGGGAGCAAACGGG